rnacentral:miRNA from 1 species
UGAGGAAGGAGAAUUGCUUGAACCCAGGAAGUGGAGGCUGCAGUGAGCCGAGAUUGCACCACUGCACUACAGCCUGGGUGACAGAGCGAGACUCCGUCUCA